rnacentral:rRNA from 1 species
AUUGAACGCUGGCGGCAGGCCUAACACAUGCAAGUCGAGCGGAUGAAGGGAGCUUUCUCCUGGAUUCAGCGGCGGACGGGUGAGUAAUGCCUAGGAAUCUGCCUGGUCGUGGGGGAUAACGUCCGUAAACGGGCGCUAAUACCGCAUACGUCCUGAUGGAGAAAGUGGGGGAUCUUCGGACCUCACGCUAUCAGAUGACCCUAGGUCGGAUUAGCUAGUUGGUGGGGUAAAGGCCUACCAAGGCGACGAUCCGUAACUGGUCUGAGAGGAUGAUCAGUCACACUGGAACUGAGACACGGUCCAGACUCCUACGGGAGGCAGCAGUGGGGAAUAUUGGACAAUGGGCGAAAGCCUGAUGCAGCCAUGCCGCGUGUGUGAAGAAGGUCUUCGGAUUGUAAAGCACUGUAAGUUGGGAGGAAGGGCAGUAAGUUAAUACCUUGCUGUUUUGACGUUACCAACAGAAUAAGCACCGGCUAACUUCGUG